UACGUAGGGUGCAAGCGUUUGUCCGGAAUUAUUGGGCGUAAAGAGCUCGUAGGCGGUUUGUCACGUCGGCUGUGAAAACCCGAGGCUCAACCUCGGGCCUGCAGUCGAUACGGGCAGACUAGAGUAUGGCAGGGGAGACUGGAAUUCCUGGGUGUAGCGGUGAAAUGCGCAGAUAUCGGGAGGAACACCGGUGGCGAAGGCGGUUCUCUGGGCCUUACCUGACGCUGAGGAGCGAAAGCAUGGGGAGCGAACAGG
rnacentral:rRNA from 1 species